CCUACGGGUGGCAGCAGUGAGGAAUAUUGGUCAAUGGACGAGAGUCUGAACCAGCCAAGUAGCGUGAAGGAUGACUGCCCUAUGGGUUGUAAACUUCUUUUAUAUGGGAAUAAAAUGUUCCACGUGUGGGAUUUUGUAUGUACCAUAUGAAUAAGGAUCGGCUAACUCCGUGCCAGCAGCCGCGGUAAUACGGAGGAUCCGAGCGUUAUCCGGAUUUAUUGGGUUUAAAGGGAGCGUAGGUGGAUUGUUAAGUCAGUUGUGAAAGUUUGCGGCUCAACCGUAAAAUUGCAGUUGACACUGGCAGUCUUGAGUACAGUAGAGGUGGGCGGAAUUCGUGGUGUAGCGGUGAAAUGCUUAGAGAUCACGAAGAACUCCGAUUGCGAAGGCAGUUCACUGGACUGCAACUGACACUGAGGCUCGAAAGUGUGGGUAUCAAACAGGAUUAGAUACCCUGGUAGUC
rnacentral:rRNA from 1 species